GCGAAGGUGGCGGAAUUGGUAGACGCGCUAGCUUCAGGUGUUAGUGUCCUUAGGAUGUGGGGGUUCGACUCCCCCCCCUCGCACCA
rnacentral:tRNA from 1 species